rnacentral:lncRNA from 1 species
CGCUAAUUUAAUAUUAUCUCGUAACUCGUAAGCGUAUCCCUAGAGAUUUUGACUAAGUAAAACUAUCACACACCCAAACUAUCUAUCUAUACUUAUAUUAAAGCACAAGUUUUGCCAAAUUUUUUUCCCGCCAAAGCCUACCUAUUUUUAUCCACUGUACAAUGUUGCUGUUUAUUGCCUUAUGGGCCUUGGAGAAACCUGUCUGUUUUGGCUCCAAAAAGUGCAGCCCAAAUUCAAAUUUCAAAUUUUUGGAGCCCAAAUUAAUUGCUGAUAACAGUGAGUGUAUUUCUAUAAAUAGGGCCUCAGAUUAUUUUAGACAGCAUUUUCCAAUUGCAAACUUUCUCUCUCUGAUCCUUUUUUUUCAACUGCUUUUUAUGCUAUUUUAUUUUUACUGUUUUUAUGUGGUAUUUUUGUUUAGCUUUUUAUUCUGAUCCUUUUAUGCUUUUUAUUUUGUUUAGCUUUUUGCUGUUUAUUAGUAUUAGUUUCAAUUACAACUAUGAUACAAAUCUAUACAGUUAUUUCUACUUUAUACAUAAAGUCUAAAAAUGUAGCUAAUAUUUCUGAAUUUUCGCUGCAGAUCAAGACUUUUCGCCAGAUCAAGACUGAAUCUUCAACACUCAUAUCUGCAAAAGCCACAAAAAAAUGGUUUUAGUGUGUAUUCAAAGAUUUACAGCAAGUUAGCAUAGAAAUUUCAUAUUAUAUUAUUUUUGUAUGAGAAAUUAUAUAUGUUGAAAUAUGAUAAUAUUAUGUAUCUCAGUUGUGAAGAUGGCAAAAAGCAAACAAAACAAAUUUCCUGCAUCUUCUAUGAAACACGAAAAGCAAGAGCAAAUAGCUCAACAUGGAGAGGUUGAAUUCAUGAAUAGCAUCUUCAAAAAUCUGAAUACAAAAUAUUUCAAUAAAUAAACGACGGUGGAAAAGAGGAACUAACCGUCUCUGGUUGGAGCUGGAGCAGGAGCAGGGGCGAAAGCGCCGUGGCCCUGGCCUUGAACAGCAGGCAUGAAGAUUGCGAAAACAAGGGCAAAUGCAGCAAAAAUGCAUUUGUAGAUAUUCAGAGAUCUACCAAAAUGAAAAUGAAAAUGAAAAACAAGACAAAGCAGAUAUCUAAAAAUCAACAAGUACCAGUUUCAUGUGUAGAUAUUCAGAGAUCUAUCAAAAUGAAAAUUUGAAAAACGAGAAACUAAGAAUGCGAAAAAAAUAAAAGAUGUCUAGUAUAGGAAAAAAAGAAAGAGAAGCACUAUCAUUAGAAAAACUCUAAAGUCGUUCUCAAAUAAAAUUUGUGGCUAGGGUUUUUAAUGAACAAAAACAUUGGAGCAGAUGCAGACGAAAUUUUUUGGCUAUCGUUUAAAUGAACAAAAAUGAUACUUCAGCAAGAAAAAUUAAACAUAGAGAAAUUUAAAAAAAUUAAAAAUUAAAAAACGAAAAACUAACAAACGAAAAAAAAUAGAUCUUAGAAAGUAUAAAAAAGAAAAAUAAUCUGCAAGAAAAAAUUUCAUAUGGAGAACGCUAGAAUUAAAGAUGCAGACGAGGGAGGAGGCCGAGAUCUGGAGGCUAGGGCUUGGGCGACGCCGUAGUUUGAAACCCGGACGGCGACUGGAUACGGGCUGUGCAGAGGGAGGCAGCGGCGCAUUUAUCGUCUUCGAGGAGGGAGGCGACGCCGUGUGGAACGGCGUCAGUGCUUAGAUGUGAGGGCGGAGUUGGUGGUUUAGGGAUCUAGGGAUUUUGGGCGGCGGCUUUGCGGUGAUAUGGUUGCAGGUUUUUCGCCGACAGAGGGUGAGGCAGAGGGAGAGAGAAGACGGUGGAGAACAUCGGCGACCGUGGCUUCUCGCCGGCAGCGGCGCAUGUAGAAGAAAGAGGAAGGUUUGGACUAGGAGAAGAAAGGAGAGAG